rnacentral:rRNA from 1 species
UACGUAGGGCGCAAGCGUUGUCCGGAAUUAUUGGGCGUAAAGAGCUCGUAGGCGGCUUGUCGCGUCGAAUGUGAAAACUUGGGGCUUAACCCCGAGCCUGCGGUCGAUACGGGCAGACUUGAGUUCGGCAGGGGAGACUGGAAUUCCUGGUGUAGCGGUGAAAUGCGCAGAUAUCAGGAGGAACACCGGUGGCGAAGGCGGGUCUCUGGGCCGAUACUGACGCUGAGGAGCGAAAGCGUGGGGAGCGAACAGG